GGGGACGUAACAAAGCGACCCAGGAAUGCUUGGGCGUGCCUCCACCCACGCCGGCGUCGGCGGGCGUAUUUCGCCUCACAGUAGGUCGCCGCGACCCGUUGCUUUUGGGGACGUCGAAGGCCCGGACGGAUUGGUACCCUACCGGCUGGGGAUGCGGCUUCGGCUUCUCCUCUUGUCCGGUGGGCGAAACCGCCGGUGUCCUGGCUGCCCUGCGACGGUCGUAGAGACGAGCCCUUCCCAUUCGUGGGAGGCGGCUCUCGCGGCGUGCAAAAGGUCGGUGAUCCACCCGACCCGUCUUGAAACACGGACCAAGGAGUCUAACAUGUGUGCGAGUCAGUGGGCGCACUAAACCCAGAGGCGUAAUGAAAGUGACACGGGUUCGGCUGUCGCCUCGUGUGGCAGCCGGACUCUGGGCCGAUCCCUCACCGGUUGCCCUCGCCUCUCUCCCGCGUCUCGGUAAGCCGGGUGAGCUAUUUUCCCCGGCCAAUGCUGCGGGGCUCGGGAGGAGGCGGGGUUGCGAUGGUGUCCGUCAAAAAGAGCCUGCUGUUGCAGGGGGGCGCAGGCCCGGGACUUGCCA
rnacentral:rRNA from 1 species